rnacentral:rRNA from 1 species
UACGAAGGGGGCGAGCGUUGUUCGGAUUUACUGGGCGUAAAGGGCGCGCAGGCGGCUAUCCAAGUCAGGCGUGAAAGCCCCGGGCUUAACCUGGGAGGUGCGUCUGGGACUGGGUGGCUAGAGUUCGGGAGAGGAGAGUGGAAUUCCCAGUGUAGAGGUGAAAUUCGUAGAUAUGGGGAGGAACACCGGUGGCGAAGGCGGCCAUCUGGACGGUCACUGACGCUGAGACGCGAAAGCGUGGGUAGCAAACAGG